rnacentral:lncRNA from 1 species
CCAAGACCACACGCAAGCCACCCUCCUAGACACACAAGGUAAGUUAACAGGAAGGUGUGUGUGUGUGUGUGUGUGGGCCAGUGUGUGCAUGUGUCACUGUGUGUGCCAGUGUCUAAGUAUCUGUGUGUCAAGGUGUGUGUAUGUGCCAGUGUAUAUCAGUGUGUGUGUAUCUGUGGGUGCAAGUGUGUGUGUAUGUCAGUGUGUGUGUAUUUGUGAGCCAAGAUGUGUGUAUGUGUCACUGUGUGCAUCAGAGUGUGUGUAUGUGUAUCUGAGUGUGUGUCUGUGUGUGUCAGCAGGCCCGGACUGGCCAUCGGGCACACCGGGCAAAUGCCCGGUGUGCCGCGGUGGCCAUGGGCCGAGGCCGGCAGGGGAGGUCACAGAACAUCCCCUGCUUGUCUAUGCAGGGCCGGCACUAUCCGAGUGCCGGCCCCGCUGUAUUCUACGGAGGGCCGGUGGUGAGAUUAAAGAUCUCCCUCACCGGCCCAUUUAAAUAGACCUGCGGCUGGGGAGGGAGAGGACCCGGCGGAGCUCUAUCUUGCAGUUCCGCCGGGUUCCUCUUGCGAGAUCGGGAGCGUUGCCAUGGCAACGCCUUGAUCUCGCGAGAGUGAACUCUAGCCCUCAGGCUAGAGUUCACUCACCACUGGACCACCAGGGAUGGUGCGCGAGCGCCGGUCCCUCCCCUCCCAGACACCACGUGCCUGUCCCCCCGUCCCAGGCUAAAGGUAAGAAGGGAGGAGGGGAUUUAAUGCCUGCUUAGUUUUUUUUUUUAUUGUUUAUUUACCCCCCUUAGUUUUUUUAUUUAUAUAUUUACCCCCAACACACAACAUUUAUACACAGCACUCUCACACACAUCAUACACAGCACUCUCACAUACAGCACUCACUCUCACCACAAUCAGCACUCUCAGCUCUCACACACAUCACACAUAGCACGUUCACACUCAGCACUCAUCACACACAUCACACUCAGCACUCAUCACACUCAGCACUCUCACACACAUCACACUCAGCACUCUGACACACAUCACAGCACUCACGCACACAUCACAGCACUCACGCACUCUCACACUCAGCACUCUCACACUCAGCACUCUCACACUCAGCACUCUCACACUCAGCACUCUCACACUCAGCACUCACACACACAUCACUCUCACACAGCACUAUCACACUCAGCACUCACACACAUCAUACACAGCACCCACACACACAGCACCCUCACACACACACAGCACCCAGCACACCUCACACACAGCAUCCAUCACACACAUACUGCACCCCUCACAUACACACACAACCCCCCGAUACACUGCAUCACACACAUACACAAUACUUCCAAACAUAUUUAUAUAAUAUAUAUAUAUACACACACACACUCUGGAUCCCCUAUAUGCACACUAGAUUCCUUGUAAGCAAACACAUACUACAUUCCCUGAACACACACUCUCUACAAACACUACAUCACCUACACACACACACACACACACUAUAGCCUGUAUGCACACACUUGCUACAUCCCCUAUACACACAUUCUCUACAGCCCCUAGCCACAUAUGCAUUACAUUACACCACAAACACAACACGACUAAAACUUAUUACACAAUACCACACCACAACCAGCUCACUCUGCACACACGCAAUAUCACAAGCAGGCUCCAAACACAUGCACAAUACUCUUUCCUGUCCCUUUUGUCUCCUGGUAUCCAUUUAUAGAGACAAGUUUCAAGGAAACACAGUGCAAGCAUGUUAUUAAAUUUGUUUGCACUGUGCAGAACACAUACAGGUCUUUUUUUCUCAUGCUAGAGCUCUUCAGCAGAGCUCUGCGCAUGGUCUGCCCUGGAAGAGCAUUGAACCAACAUGCUCACUUUGAGAGGGGGCGUGUUUGUCAUGAGAGAUGACAAAACACACCCUCUCUGCCCCGCCCCCUUCUUAGUGGGCCGCUGUGAUUAAAAAAAAUGCCUCGGCCGAAUUUUUUUCCCAGUCCGGCCCUGUGUGUCAGUGUGUGAAUCUGUGUGCCACUAUGCGCCAGUGUGUGUAUCUGUGUGCCAGAAACAUACACACACACAUACACAGAUACACACUGUGUGUCAAGAUGUGUGUAUCUGUGUGUAAAGGUGUGUGUAUCUGUGUGCCACUAUGUGUUUCUGUGUAUCAGAUUCAUACACACUAACACACAGAUAUACACACACCUUGACACACAGAUAGAUAGAUACAUACAUACAUACAUAUAUACACACACACACAUACAGACUUCCCACGUGAGUUUGCCAUGAGCUCCUGGAGGAGCCUGCUUGCCAGCCUCCUGCCCACAGACUAUGGGCCCUGCAGGGAAACCUGUAAAAGACUAUUUAACUGGCUUGGUUCGUGUGAUUCCCCUAUGCUGUUCGGAAACCGAACCGCCGCACAAACUAUGGACCACCUGGGAGCUUGUUAAGCCAGAUGGAUACAUUGUAACGAUCCUAACCGCAUUGUUCUAAUGGUUCAUCUGGGUGGCCAUCUUGUUUGCACGAACUCAGGCAGCGGUGUUUGGUCGUUGAGUUCACGGAACUGAAAACGGACACUGAAACUCCCAAACACCGCUGGACUUCCAUGAUCGCCUGCGUUCGGUUUUAUAUAACUUAGAAGAAUGCUGUUCAGUGGGAUUGUUUGUCUGCAUGAAGGGAACAAGCUCCACGGUAUAACAAUGGAUUUUGUUUGGUAGUUUGUUCUCUUUUACACUACCGAUCUUGACCGACUGCUACAACUUUUUCCCUGGAACGAUUUUGGGUAGGAACUUUUGGAUAAGUUGGUCACCCAGAUCGGGGCUAUCAGGGUAUAUAACUGUGGGGUUUUCAGGUAGUUAAAUGUACUUUUGGGGUGUCUGUGAAAUCUGUGUUUUUGUGCCUGGAGAUAAUUAAGUUUUGUACAGUUCCUGACUCAAUUAUCUCCCUGGCAUAGGGGAAGGAUCCUGUUUUGUGUGGGAGUGUCAUGGGCGUGCUUGUCUGUGUUCAGAAAUGUAUAAAGGAAGGCCAUCUGGCCAGAUUAAAAUAUUCCAGCUUGUACUCCCAGAACUAUGUGUCGGUGGUUACUGGGAGGGGAAAGGGCUAAUCAAUACUUCAGCUUGUUCCAGUGUUGAAGAUUUAACAGGGAAAGUCCUUGUAAGGACUACAGCUCCCAGGAGUGAGUGUCGUCCAGUGCCUGGGAGUGGAUAGAGUGAGUUCCCCAUUCGACUCCAGGACGGAGUGGUUUCAGGACCCCAGUCAAGUCACGGCACCUGGGGGCAGGAGUGCUGAGGUUUGUCCCUUGUUCUAGCUAGGAAGCGGUCGUUGGCGGAGGUACCCAGCCGGGGUAUAGGGAGCUCCGUUACAAUCUGUGUGUCAGAUGCAUACACACACACACACACACACAGAUACACAUUGACACACAGAUACACACACUGGCACAUACAAACACAGAUACACACACCUAGACACACAGAAACACACCGGCACGUACAAAAAAAAAGGUUUAUGCAACGGCGCAAUUUUGUUUUUGUUUUUUACAGGGGAGGAGGUUCCAUGAUGUUGAUACACUACGUCAAAGGGUUCCACAGGAAAAAUGAAUUGGGAACCCCUGACCUAUAGAAAAGAGAGAGAUCACAUGCAAGAGCUCACAGACUAAACUGGGGAUUGCAGAGAAUUGAGAAAUGCAUUGCCAUAUUUGUUAGCG